rnacentral:rRNA from 1 species
GGGUUGUGAGGUUAAGCGACUAAGCGUACACGGUGGAUGCCUAGGCAGUCAGAGGCGAUGAAGGACGUGCUAAUCUGCGAUAAGCGUCGGUAAGGUGAUAUGAACCGUUAUAACCGACGAUUUCCGAAUGGGGAAACCCAGUGCAAUCCGUUGCACUAUCGUUAAGUGAAUACAUAGCUUAACGAAGCGAACCAGGGGAACUGAAACAUCUAAGUACCCUGAGGAAAAGAAAUCAACCGAGAUUCCCCCAGUAGCGGCGAGCGAACGGGGAACAGCCCAGAACCUGAAUCAGUUUGUGUGUUAGUGGAAGCGUCUGGAAAGUCGCAGGGUACAGGGUGAUACUCCCGUACACAAAAAUGCACAUACUGUGAGUUCGAAGAGUAGGGCGGGACACGUGGUAUCCUGUCUGAAUAUGGGGGGACCAUCCUCCAAGGCUAAAUACUCCUGACUGACCGAUAGUGAACCAGUACCGUGAGGGAAAGGCGAAAAGAACCCCGGCGAGGGGAGUGAAACAGAACCUGAAACCGUGUACGUACAAGCAGUGGGAGCCUUGAUUUAUCAGGGUGACUGCGUACCUUUUGUAUAAUGGGUCAGCGACUUAUAUUCUGUAGCAAGGUUAACCGUAUAGGGGAGCCGAAGGGAAACCGAGUCUUAACUGGGCGUUAAGUUGCAGGGUAUAGACCCGAAACCCGGUGAUCUAGCCAUGGGCAGGUUGAAGGUUGGGUAACACUAACUGGAGGACCGAACCGACUAAUGUUGAAAAAUUAGCGGAUGACUUGUGGCUGGGGGUGAAAGGCCAAUCAAACCGGGAGAUAGCUGGUUCUCCCCGAAAGCUAUUUAGGUAGCGCCUCGUGAACUCAUCUUCGGGGGUAGAGCACUGUUUCGGCUAGGGGGCCAUCCCGGCUUACCAACCCGAUGCAAACUACGAAUACCGAAGAAUGUUAUCACGGGAGACACACGGCGGGUGCUAACGUCCGUCGUGAAGAGGGAAACAACCCAGACCGCCAGCUAAGGUCCCAAAGUCACAGUUAAGUGGGAAACGAUGUGGGAAGGCACAGACAGCCAGGAUGUUGGCUUAGAAGCAGCCAUCAUUUAAAGAAAGCGUAAUAGCUCACUGGUCGAGUCGGCCUGCGCGGAAGAUGUAACGGGGCUAAACUGUGCACCGAAGCUGCGGCAGCGACGCUUAUGCGUUGUUGGGUAGGGGAGCGUUCUGUAAGCCGUCGAAGGUGUCCUGUGAGGGAUGCUGGAGGUAUCAGAAGUGCGAAUGCUGACAUAAGUAACGAUAAAGCGGGUGAAAAGCCCGCUCGCCGGAAGACCAAGGGUUCCUGUCCAACGUUAAUCGGGGCAGGGUGAGUCGACCCCUAAGGCGAGGCCGAAAGGCGUAGUCGAUGGGAAACAGGUUAAUAUUCCUGUACUCGGUGUUACUGCGAAGGGGGGACGGAGAAGGCUAUGUUAGCCGGGCGACGGUUGUCCCGGUUUAAGCAUGUAGGCGGAGCGUUUAGGUAAAUCCGGACGCUUUUUAACGCUGAGGUGUGAUGACGAGGCACUACGGUGCUGAAGUAACAAAUGCCCUGCUUCCAGGAAAAGCCUCUAAGCAUCAGGUAACAUCAAAUCGUACCCCAAACCGACACAGGUGGUCAGGUAGAGAAUACCAAGGCGCUUGAGAGAACUCGGGUGAAGGAACUAGGCAAAAUGGUGCCGUAACUUCGGGAGAAGGCACGCUGAUGGUAAGUGAAGCGACUUGCUCGUGGAGCUGAAAUCAGUCGAAGAUACCAGCUGGCUGCAACUGUUUAUUAAAAACACAGCACUGUGCAAACACGAAAGUGGACGUAUACGGUGUGACGCCUGCCCGGUGCCGGAAGGUUAAUUGAUGGGGUUAGCGGUAACGCGAAGCUCUUGAUCGAAGCCCCGGUAAACGGCGGCCGUAACUAUAACGGUCCUAAGGUAGCGAAAUUCCUUGUCGGGUAAGUUCCGACCUGCACGAAUGGCGUAAUGAUGGCCAGGCUGUCUCCACCCGAGACUCAGUGAAAUUGAACUCGCUGUGAAGAUGCAGUGUACCCGCGGCAAGACGGAAAGACCCCGUGAACCUUUACUAUAGCUUGACACUGAACACUGGUCCUUGAUGUGUAGGAUAGGUGGGAGGCUUUGAAGCGUGGACGCCAGUCUGCGUGGAGCCAACCUUGAAAUACCACCCUUUAAUGGCUGGUGUUCUAACGUAGACCCGUAAUCCGGGUUGCGGACAGUGUCUGGUGGGUAGUUUGACUGGGGCGGUCUCCUCCUAAAGAGUAACGGAGGAGCACGAAGGUUAGCUAAUCCUGGUCGGACAUCAGGAGGUUAGUGCAAUGGCAUAAGCUAGCUUGACUGCGAGAGUGACGGCUCGAGCAGGUGCGAAAGCAGGUCAUAGUGAUCCGGUGGUUCUGAAUGGAAGGGCCAUCGCUCAACGGAUAAAAGGUACUCCGGGGAUAACAGGCUGAUACCGCCCAAGAGUUCAUAUCGACGGCGGUGUUUGGCACCUCGAUGUCGGCUCAUCACAUCCUGGGGCUGAAGUAGGUCCCAAGGGUACGGCUGUUCGCCGUUUAAAGUGGUACGCGAGCUGGGUUUAGAACGUCGUGAGACAGUUCGGUCCCUAUCUGCCGUGGGCGCUGGAGAAUUGAGGGGGGCUGCUCCUAGUACGAGAGGACCGGAGUGGACGCAUCACUGGUGUUCGGGUUGUCAUGCCAAUGGCAUUGCCCGGUAGCUAAAUGCGGAAAAGAUAAGUGCUGAAAGCAUCUAAGCACGAAACUUGCCCCGAGAUGAGUUCUCCCUGACUCCUUUGAGAGUCCUGAAGGAACGUUGAAGACUACGACGUUGAUAGGUCGGGUGUGUAAGCGUAGCGAUACGUUGAGCUAACCGAUACUAAUGAACCGUGAGGCUUAACCUUACAACGCCGAAGCUGUU